rnacentral:snoRNA from 1 species
CUGUAAAUAUUGACAGAUCAGGAACAGGUAAUGCCUGUUGCUAAGGUUUUCACUACAGAUGCAAGAAAAAAGGUCCUCACACUUUCUGUCUGUCUGGUUGUGGCAGCCAAGAUUGAAUGGGGCAACAUAG